rnacentral:rRNA from 1 species
AUUGAACGCUGGCGGCGUGCCUAAUACAUGCAAGUCGAACGGGGAAAGCUUUCGGGUGAGUACUAGUGGCGCACGGGUGAGGAACGCGUGGAUAAUCUGCCUUAGAGUGGGGGAUAACUAGUCGAAAGAUUAGCUAAUACCACAUAAGACCACAGGAGCUGCGGCUCUAGGGGUCAAAGGUUUUUCGCUCUAAGAUGAGUCCGCGUAAGAUUAGCUAGUUGGUGAGGUAACGGCUCACCAAGGCGACGAUCUUUAACUGGUCUGAGAGGAUGAUCAGUCACACUGGAACUGAGACACGGUCCAGACUCCUACGGGAGGCAGCAGUAGGGAAUAUUGCACAAUGGAGGAAACUCUGAUGCAGCGACGCCGCGUGAGUGAUGAAGGCCUUCGGGUCGUAAAGCUCUGUCGCAGGGAAAUAACACAAUGAAUGUACCCUGUAAGAAAGGAUCGGCUAACUUCGUGCCAGCCGCCGCCGUAACAC